GCCCACAGACACCCACCAUUCGGGUCAGCAGUGGCACUCAGAGGAAAAGGUAUGCAUGCAGCUAUUGUCAUAGUGUGGUACAGUGACAGGUUUUAGUUGACUGCAAAAAUGUAUGUGCUUUUAUUGUGUAAGAUGGAGAAAGGGAAAGAAAAAAAGUGAAAACUACUAAUGGGCCUUGCUAAUGCUGGUCUUUCUGCGACCCCAUCCACACAUACUGAUUAACCAUAACCUGAUUUUCAAGUGUCUGUUAAUGUUUUUGCUGCUGUUUGUGUACAUAGAUAUGUCUUUCCCUAGCCUCCAACCUAAAAAUGGGUACAUAAAGGUGGAUAUUAAAAGCAAAGCUCUGUGAACAUGGGCUAUAAUUUUAAAUGUCAUGUUUCUGGAAAUGAUGCCAUUUUUUUCUGUCAUGGGGCAAAGAUAUGAGUUUGUUCUCUAAGAGAAAUACUUGUCCAUAAGACUAAAACUGAUGACUAAUUGAAAGGUCAUUGCUAUAUUUGAUAAAAUGGAAUAGAAUAUGUAUAAUCCUUUUCUUAAAAGCAAGUUUUUGUGACUUUUUUAUUAGUCAUGUUAGUAUUGCUGAGAAAUCACUUUAAAGGAUUUUAGUGACUUAACUUCGUAACAUUUUAUCAAAUUCUGGUUGUUGAGUUACUUGCCCUGCUUUCAGUUAAUUUAGUUAAAGUUUUUUGUUUGAGGAGCUUUUGUUUAAGACUCAAAAAUAAUACAUAUAUUUUCUAUUUGUAGUUCAAACUGUCUAACUGUAAUAAAUUUCUAUUCCAGUAUUUAGAGUAGUUUUCAAAAAGAGUUGAAUCCUGAUAUGGAAACUAAAAAAUUACAAAAAAAAACUUUUGACUUUCAUAUUUAAAAGAUAAUUAAAUGCCAAUAUGAAUAAUGUUGUCACUGGUGAGGUGUUGAAAGGUAAUUAAAGUAAAACUUUUUUGUUUCCUAUAUGUAUUUUUCUUGGAUCUCCUGCAAGACAAUUUUCACCUUCCCUUUGUGAUCAGAGCCGUCCCAGGACUUCAGGGGCUUCCUACCUACAGAAUUUAUUAAGAGUUCCCCCUGAUCCCACCUCCACAGAAUCAUUUCUUCUGAAGGGUUCCCCUUCCAUGAGUGAACUCAUCCAAGGGCAUCGGCUCAGCAAGGAAAAAAGGUUAACCGUGGCUCCACCAGAUUGUCAGCAGCCUGCUGCCUCCGUACCGCCACAGUGCUCACAACUAGCUGGGAGGCAAGACUACCCAGCUGUCAGUCCGAACAUUGCCCUCCCUGAGGAGCAGCCACAUUCCAGCUCACAGUGUGCUCCUCUGCAUUGUCUCACCAAGCCUCCUUACCCCUAGUCUUCAUCUCUCAUGAAUGGGUAUCUGGGCUGAAGAUUUUGUAGCCACACUGAGGACACUGCCUGAGAUCUAGCAGGUGUUGUCUUCUUGGAGAUUAAAAUUACAUAUGUAUUACAGUCCAUCAUUUUUGAAGAGGAGAGAGUUCAGAAGAAUAAAAUGAUGUGUUGAACCUGGUGUGAUCAAUUUAUGGCUUCUCUGAAUUGAAGAUGACCUGCAAUCAAAUGGCAAUAGUUCUUUUGAAAUUUAAAUGAAACAUGUAUCUCAGAUAUCUGGCUUUACCUCCACAGCAUAAAAGAGAUCCAAGACAAUGUAAAAUAGAUACGUUAUAAAAUCAUCUUUCCCUAUACUUCAAAGUCAGCCAUAGAAGUUGAUUCCAAUAUUUUUCAAUGAUAUUUAUUUUAUAUUUUAUUUGCUAUAUGGUUUGUGUUUAUAAAGAUAAUUUCUGUAAGCAGAAUUCAUUUAUUUUUAAGUAGUCAUAGUGUGCUCAGUUUAAUUUAGUUUAAAAUUUGGAACUGGCAAGAUUAUGGUCCUUCUACUUGUAGAAAAUUACAAAUGAGGUGCAUCAGAAUGUUAACAACAACUGUUUUUGCUGCUUCAUGGAUAUUCUUUAUGUGGUUAUUUUCUAAUUAGUAACUCAAUUGCUAGUUUUUUAAACUAGAGUUCUUCACUGGACAUUUAUUAAGUAAAUCUAAGAAAGAGGCAAAGAUAUGAUUCAUUGACUUAAUCAAGUUUUGAUUGUAUCUUUAAUUAUUUAAAUUGCAAUUGAGUAGAUACAUUGGUGCUGCUACUGUGUGAUUGUGUGUAUGUGUGUAUGUGUGGUCGUAUUAAAGAAGGGCAAAUUACUUGAAGGAGAGAAAUGGUGUGUUUAUUUAAUGACCACAAAUUUUUUUAAACUUUUUCCAAAUUUAGGUUCUUACUAUGUGUUUCCCACUAAAAGGGAUAACAAUAAAUGCAAAAAUAUAUACAUAUAUAGCUGUAAGGUAGCUGUGGCUUGUUAAUUUAUGCAGAAAGUGUAUGUUUUUGUUGUUUCCUUCACAAUGAAUCUUUCUUGCCAAAAAAAUAAAUAAUAAACCUUAGCUCAUUGUCUACUUUUGACAAACACUCAGGUGCCUACAGUCAUAUUAUAUUGAGAUUAAGACAUGUUCUCAUUUAAUUUACAGAUUCUGCUAGGUAACUUUUAUGACUUUAUUUAAGGCAAUAGAAUUUCAUAGAAAAUUUUAGUUUUUGCAUUAUUGAGAAAACAAGGACAGCAGCUAUUUGAGCUGUAAGGUCUAACUUGGAUUCCUCAGUUUUCAAGUGCUGCCCACAUAAUUGCGCCUAACCCUGACUCGUUGUCCUUGUCAGGUAGCCUUAACUUACAUAAAACCAUAAAGGUUUUACUUUUUCAUGUAACAGUGUCUUUAACUUCUCUUCCAAACAAAACUGGCCCUCACUGUUAGCAAAAAAGAUGACUAGCCCUAUAGGAAGACAACAGAUAUGUUGGAGCUGCCCAGCUUGUGGCUCGAAAGUGGUGGCACAUUUAUCAAGCACUCCAUCAAAGGUCAGCAGUCAGUCACAAAGCACAUUGCAGGAACUUUGUUUUUAUGUUAUGUUCCUGUUGAGUAGCAGUCAUGGUUACCAAAGCAACCCAAAAAUUUUGUGUUUCUUAUCUGAAUGAUGUUUUCGUGUCAUUUCUUAUGCAACCUGGAGUAAAAGUUGAAAUACUUGCCAAAAUUUAGGGAUGCAGGUAAAGUACAGUGACACACAAAACAGCCCCUGAUGGGAGUCCUAGUCAAUCAGAAUCCCCACAUAGUUGCACCUGCCUGAAUUGCUUUCUUGUUCUUGUAUUUCUCCUCAUUUAUUGGUGUUAAAUCUGCCUGGUGCCAAUAUUAGUGAGACAGUAUAGAUAUUCAUUAGAGUUCAGUUAAAGACAACUUCCUCUGUUUUUUUUUUUUUUCUUUUUACCUUUUCCUAAGCAUGAGUUGAAACCGAAGAUAUGUCAUAGUUACUAAGUUGACUUUGACCUAAGGGAUAACAUGCCUUUUAAAUAAAUACCCCAGAAUGAGUUGUGUCUUUGGAUCGGGAACUCAACAAUGGAUCUCUUUUCUGUGUAACCACUGUUGACAUAGCUGCAUUGAAUUCGUGUAUAAAGUUGAUUACUUCCACUAUGAAAUUUAUCAAUAAGUCUGAUAUAAACCAGUUUUAUUUUAGUUGCUUAUUUUAAUAAAGUAGAAAAUGUUUGUUUUGAAAUAUUAAUUCUAUAAAAUAUUAAUGUUAAAAGAACUUUGCCCAGAAGAUAUAUAGACCUUGAAAUGAAUUUCUUAUUUUUAGCACAAAAGUAGGUGGUACUCUCUAAGCAGCAAGAGAUUUAUUUAUCUCAUACCACAUCAUUUAGCUGAGCCAUAUCGAUAUUUAUUUACAGACUUUUUCAAUAAAUAAAUGCAGAGUGCUGGUAAAAAUGAAUACUUGUAAAGAUAAUAUUGGGAUGUAAAAAGAAACUGAAAAAGUGAAAAACUAAUGAAAAAAACCAUGAAUCUCAGUAAGAAUAAUUGAAGGUGUAUUGUAUUUGAUAUUAAAAUAUAAACGAUAGAAACACUACAAAUGCUAAUUGUUGUAAACAUUUUGAACAAAGAUGAGAGGUUAUGCCCAAAAUUAGUUAGCCAAAAUAACCAACUAUUAUAAAAUUUUUCAUUGCAUCUUACUGUGUGUGUGUGUGUGUGUGUGUGUGUGUGUGUGUGUGUGUGUGCGCGCGCGCGCGUGCGCAUGUACACACAUGCAUGGCCAUAGCAUGUGUGGGAAAGUUGGAGGAAAACCUGCAGGGAUUGCUUCUCUCCCACAACUAUUUGGGUCCCAAGGAUUGAAUUCAGAUUAUCAGGCCAAGUGGAAGGCAUACUCAUCUGCUGAGCCGUCUUACUUUAAUCCACAUUUUUUUUAAAUGUAAGCACAAUUACAAAACUAAAUAGAAGAAUUAGUGUAGAAAUGGUUUCCCACUUGGGAUUUUUCAUUAACACAUAAUAUUAAAAUAAAAAAGGCAAUGAAUUGUGUUUGACCUAAGUGUUUAGAAGCAUAAAAAAAGUUUGGAUACAUAAACCUUUUGCAUAUCUAAUUCUGGAUGAAAAAGAAAGAGGAGGAGGUAAAAGGAAUUUUGAAAACUUCUAGAAAAUAUAAAUUUAUUAAGGAAUGAAGAAAAGACUUAUUUUGAAGUUAUACUUUAUAUAUGCUUAAAGUAGAGGAGGUACAAUAAUGAGGUCCAACAAAAAGAACUUAACAAAUGACAGAGAUCAGUUACAGAUCCCAUAAGACUAAAUGUAAAGGGUUAGCAUUACCUGUAGGAAAGAGAUUUUUAAUAGUGGAAAAUUAAUCAUUGGAUUAUAAGGAUUUGUGUUUAAAAAUGGUAGUCUUAAGUAUAGCCAAUUUGCAAUAAUGUUUUUCUAGGAGCCCACAACUCUAUGAUUUUCUGUUUUAAAGUCUAAAAUAUAUUUAAUUUUUACUGAUUGGUCAUGAAAUAUUUUUACUUUUGAACUAGGAUAACAGCCUUAAUUUUCUAAGGUAUUUAUUAUUUUGUAAAAGGAGUUCUUCAAAGUUGUCUGGAUUAUAACAACUUCACUUUAGAGAACUUCAGUGUCAGAGUCUAAAAAGCAAAUAUCCUUAAGAAAGCUUCAUAAGUAGAAGGUAUGCAAUCUCUGAUAGAUAAAUACUUCUUAAAUUUUAUUUACUCACAAAGAUUUUCUGUCUUUAACAUUUGCUUUAUCUAUGCUGUAGAACAUGUUCUUGUACAGAUAAGUCCUUCUCUAUUAAAUAAGCAUGAACAAUUGGUCUAUUAAACUAGCUAAGAAUGUGGAUAUUCCCUCAUACACUAUAUUGAAUAAAAUCCUCUCCAGUAACUAAGCACAGAUUACAAAUAAUGGUAUGAAUAAAUCAAAUAUAUUUUCUACUGUGAUAAAUGUCAACUUGUAUUAGUCAAUCAAAAGAUUUAAUCUUUCUUAUGAAGAAAUCAGUGGGCAAUAAUGGGGUGUGUCUCGGCAAAGGGGUGCUUGCUGGACCUGUGUGAGACCAUGGGUAGCAUCCACUGUACUGCAAAACAAACAAACCCUAAAAAAAAUUGAUGGAUUUCCCCCAUAGAAUCCUGUUCAUUCAAUCCAAGGAUGUCACUAAUGAAUUGAUACUGUACAUAUACGUAAAUUUGUAAAGUCCACAAUGUUUAAAACUUUUGUUUUUUUAAUAAAUCAGAUUGAUUUAAAAUAA